GUAGUCGGUUGUGUGUGUACGUGUUUGUCAAAUAUGACAGGAAAUUGUUGUGGAGAACUCUGUGAACGUGCUGACCGUAUUAUAGAACAGGGAUUAGACGAUCGCUGAAGGAGGUACAAGCCUUGGUAGUGAUGGAGAUAUCCCUGGAAGAUGAGAUUAAGAAAAUUCUGAACAAGCUAAGUGGCUACGGUUAUGCGUACUUAGUGAGAAGAUGCGCGUUCACUGCCAGCCCCUUCAGGCUUCUAAUAUAGCCAUGUGAAGGCAAUAUGCUAGUUGAAUUUUUUGACCUGGCGUUUUCAAUAGAACCCCUUUCCAAAAAUAAUGUACCGGCACUCUUGUUUGCAGCCACUCUGAUGGACCAGUGUCAACCCUAAAAAGAUGACUGAUAAUGGUCACAAGGAAGAAAAGAUGGUGAGCAACACUUGAUGCUAAACGUGUCUACACAAUAAAAUCAGCAGAACAGUUCAUAAAAAAGACAGUUGCCUUCUCCCAAUUUGCUAAAAGGCAAUAUUGUGCUCGCUCUUGUAUCUCUUCCUCUUGCAGGAAAUGUAAUCCAUUCACAGUACAUGCACAGAUGUAGUAGGCCCUACUGUUACAAAGAAGACUACUGUGGUGCAUUAUCUGGUUAGGAAACAUCAAGACCAUAUCAAAGGAAAAAUAUGAAGACCAUAAACAAGAGAAAUUGCUCAGCUACAGUUGCAGUUAAAUGUGUCAGUCUUUGCCAAGUUUUCUGUUCAAGAAGCAAAUAACUGUAAAACGGAAGUGAGUAUCCAGUUUCUGAACUAUACGUGCAGAAACAUGUUACCUAAGCCCUUCACUAUCCAUAAUUUAUUGAUACCUUUGUAUGGUGUUAUCGGUUUUUCUGAAGCAAGAAUAGGCUAUUUUCCUGUGUCAAAAAUAUGGUGCGGAUGUUGUUAUUUUAAUAGGUUGUAACAUUUAAAUAGCAUUCACAGUCCAUAUUCUCACAAA